rnacentral:rRNA from 1 species
UACGGAGGGGGCGAGCGUUAUUCGGAAUUAUUGGGCGUAAAGGGCGCGUAGGCGGCUUGACAAGUCAAAGGUGAAAUCCCUCGGCUCAACUGAGGAACUGCCUUUGAAACUGUCUGGCUUGAGGCCGGGAGAGGGUAGCGGAAUUCCCAGUGUAGCGGUGAAAUGCGUAGAUAUUGGGAGGAACACCAGUGGCGAAGGCGGCUACCUGGACCGGUUCUGACGCUGAGGCGCGAAAGCGUGGGUAGCAAAC